rnacentral:rRNA from 1 species
UACGUAGGGUGCGAGCGUUGUCCGGAAUUAUUGGGCGUAAAGGGCUCGUAGGCGGUUUGUCGCGUCGGGAGUGAAACACACAGCUUAACUGUGUGCUGGCUUCCGAUACGGGCAGACUAGAGGUAUGCAGGGGAGAACGGAAUUCCUGGUGUAGCGGUGAAAUGCGCAGAUAUCAGGAGGAACACCGGUGGCGAAGGCGGUUCUCUGGGCAUUACCUGACGCUGAGGAGCGAAAGUGUGGGGAGCGAACAGG